UCCUCCUUCCCUCUCCUCCUCCUCCUCCCGCUCCUGCCGGCCGCUGCCCGGUGGCAGGGCAGGGGCGGAGGGCGGAGCGCCGCCUGCAACCGCGGGGAGUGGCGGGGGGCGGCAGCCGAGAGGCGGCACCUGGGUCCUUCGCCCGUCUCCAUCACUCGCGGCUGCUGCGGAGCGGCCGCGGCCGAGCGGAGCGCAGGGGUGAGGUCUUUAUUAAUGUGCUGACUCGCCCAAAAUGUCCAUAAGAGAAUAAUGGAAGCCCCUGAAUACCUUGAUUUGGAUGAAAUAGAUUUUAGUGAUGAUAUAUCGUAUUCUGUAACUUCUCUCAAGACCAUUCCAGAAUUAUGUAGAAGGUGUGAUUCACAAAAUGAAGACAGAUCAGUUUCCAGUAGCAGCUGGAACUGUGGGGUCUCAACUCUUCUUGGAAAUGCACAGAAACCAACAGGAAUUGCAGAUGUGUGCAAUAAAUUCAGACCAGUGAAGAGGGUUUCUCCAUUAAAGCACCAGCCAGAAAGCUCUGAGAACAAUGAAAGUGAUGACCAGAAGAACCAGAAGGGAGAAUGCCAGAAAGGCAGUGAUUCUCAGUCUGCACCUCCAAAUGAUGACCAGAGUCCAGGAGAAGGAGAGAGCCUUAAAAGCAAAAGCACUGAGCCUGCUGUUCUGCUUGGGGAGCUGGAGCACUAUGACCUGGAUAUGGAUGAAAUUUUGGACGUGCCUUACAUUAAAUCAAGUCAGCAACCUGUUCCUUUUACAAAGGUAGCUCCUGAGAAAAAACUUUUAAGUGUGUGUUCAACUGUGAAUGGUCUAAGUGUCAAGAGCUGUCCUGCAGGGAGCACAGAGAGCUCGCCUACUGGUGGGACACAGUUCUGUGUGCUGUCUCCUGUGAAAGGCGCUCAGCUGAGAAAAACGCAGCCCAUUGUCCUUGAUCAGCACAAGCAUUCAGCAGAAGAAUUAGAGCUCUCCCAGCCUUUAGUGAAGUGCAGCUCAGCCCAUGAAGCUGAAGCCCCAGGCAAGGGCUUCCUCAGCAGGACACUUGCUGAUCCUCACGCUCACAAAGCUGAGAAGACUAUGCCGAACUGCCACCGAAGGACUUUCCACCUGCAGACAGCAGUGGCAGAGAGCAAGCAGCUGGAGGAGCUGGGUAUGAGCUGGAGCAGUGCAGGGGGCCUGGAAGAGAGGAGUGAAGAGGUGAAAAAAAUUAAGAGCAUCUUAAACAUUGUAAAGGAAGGCCAAAUAUCUUUACUGCCACAUUUAGCAGCAGAUAAUCUGGAUAAGAUCCACGAUGAAUGUGACAACAAUCUGUUGCAUGUAGCAGCAUCAAAGGGACAUGCAGAAUGCCUGCAGCAUCUCACUUCUUUGAUGGGUGAAGACUGUUUGAAUGAACGAAACAUUGAGCAACUAACUCCAGCUGGAUUAGCAAUAAAGAAUGGUCAGCUGGAGUGUGUUCGGUGGAUGGUAAGUGAAACAGAAGCUAUUGCAGAACUCAGUUGCUCAAAAGACCACCCAAGUCUUAUUCAUUAUGCAGGUUGCUAUGGCCAGGAGAAAAUCCUCCUGUGGCUUCUUCAGUUUAUGCAAGAACAAGGGAUUUCACUGGAUGAAGUUGACCAGGAUGGAAAUACUGCUGUUCACAUAGCUGCUCAACACGGCUAUCUAGGAUGCAUACAGACAUUGGUUGAAUAUGGAGCAAAUGUCACCAUGCAAAACCACGUGGGAGAGAAACCUUCGCAAAGUGCUGAGCGGCACGGGCACACCAUGUGUUCCCGCUACUUAGUAGUUGUGGAGACAUGUAUGUCACUGGCCUCUCAGGUUGUCAAGCUGACUAAGCAGCUGAAGGAGCAGACUGUGGAACGUGUAACAUUACAGAAUCAGCUCCAGCAGCUUUUAGAAGCCCAGCGAUCAGAGGGCAAGUCACUGCCCACGUCCCCAAGCUUGCCGUCAUCUCCUACUUCUGCAAAGCCCCAGUGGAAACCAUCUGAAGCAGAUGAAUUGUCUCCACCAAAAAGUAAAUUGAACACCCAAGAUGGGAUUCAGAUUCUUGGCAGCUUGGGAACAAGCACAUCUAGUCGAGCUCGAGCUAAGAUAAAAGAUGAGGAUUCAGAUAAAAUCUUGCGCCAGUUGUUGGGGAAGGAAAUCUCUGAAAAUGUCUGUAUGCAGGAAAAGCUGACUUUGGAAUUUCAGGAUGCUCAUGUAUCCUCCAAGAACGUGAAGAAGAUUUUGCCAGAGAAAAGGGAGUUAAAGUUAGCCCGACUGAGGCAACUGAUGCAGCGGUCUCUCAGCGAGUCUGAUACAGAUUCAGCUAAUUCUGAGGACCACAAGAACACUCCUGUGAAAAGAACUGACAAACCAAGACCUCAGCCUAUAGUGGAGAGUGUUGAGAGCACAGAGAGCUUGAACAUGAUGCUUAAGAAGCACACUUCCACAGCAGGACGGCGCUUCCCUUUUGGUAUCAGGGUUUCCAAGUCUGUGGAUGGCCACAGUCCUUCCCCGACUUCAGAGAGCAGCGAUCCAGAUAGUGAAACCCCAUAUCAGUCUGGUACAGUCCCUCAGAGCCAGUUUUGUGGAGACAACUCUCCAUCCAGCACAGACAGCACUGCUGCCCAGAAGGUUGCCACCAGCCCUAAGAGUGCUCUCAAGUCUCCAUCUUCAAAGCGCAGAACCUCUCAGAAUUUGAAACUCCGAGUAACUUUCGAGGAGCCUGUGGUGCAGGUGGAGCUAGCAGAGUCAGAACUAAAUGAGGAAAAGGAUAAAGAGCGGAGCAAAGGACUUGUGCGGGCUCCAGCCAGCUCUGGGGAGCAUGCAGGGGAUCAGCUGAAAAGGCCUUUCGGAGCCUUUCGGUCCAUAAUGGAGACACUGAGUGGCAACCAAAAUAACAACAACAACUGUCAAACAGCAAACCUCAUCAAAACCUCCUCAACUCUGCCUUUUACCUCACUAGGAAGGAAGACAACAGAAAGCAAGGCAAAUCCAGCAGUUGUCUCAAAAGGAAGAAACAAGCCAGUGAGUGCACUGAAAGAAGGAGGGGCCUUUUUCUUGUCUUACUGAGUAGUGCCUAAGUUUGACAGCUUCUUCCUUCUGCCUUUCUAUUGCAAAAUGAUGAACAUAAAUAUUUUAUUAUAUUUGACCUAGAGAAAGCCCAUCCACUUUUUAGUUUUGAAAAAAUUUUAUGUGUAGAGUCUGUGCUCUUAGGACAUAUGAUUCACAUAUUCUGUGUUGAAAGCUUUCCAGAUGUGUGAUUCACAUGGAAAUGAUGUUUGGUGUUGCAGUGAGUGACAAAAUACAUACUGAGAAUGCCAGUCUUGAAACCAUGGGUUUUCUGAGGAGUAAAUAACUGAAGGUCUAGUCCUGUCCUGUCCUAGAAAGACUGAUGAGGCCAACAGAGUAAGAAAAAUAACAAGGAAAAAUUGCACAAAUGGUCCUUCGUGCUUCUGUGGGAGUUACAGCCAACCCUAGGUGUUGAAGGUGUCGUCAACAAGUCUUCUUUGACCACCUUCUCUUCACAUCACAGAAUCUUCUUGUGUCAGAGCAUAUGAUUGGCCUGUCAAAAAACAUACUGGAUUCAGAUAUUCCCCUCUCCACAGUGAACACAGUGCCUUUUCUGGGAACCCAAAGGAAAGAGGCAUGACGAUAUCAAUUGGAAAAUCCAGAAAUCUGACAGUCAAAAGAGUACUGAAGAACCAGAGCUGCAGGAAUUCUUCCUCUAAAC